rnacentral:rRNA from 1 species
AAUAGAUACCCGGGUAGUCCACGCCGUAAACGAUGGAUACUAGCUGUUCGUCCGCCUCGGCGGAUGAGUGGCUAAGCGAAAGUGAUAAGUAUCCCACCUGGGGAGUACGAACGCAAGUUUGAAACUCAAAGGAAUUGACGGGGGCCCGCACAAGCGGUGGAGCAUGUGGUUUAAUUCGAUGAUACGCGAGGAACCUUACCAAGGCUUAAAUGUAGAUUGACAGGACUGGAAACAGUUUUUUCUUCGGACAAUUUACAAGGUGCUGCAUGGUUGUCGUCAGCUCGUGCCGUGAGGUGUCAGGUUAAGUCCUAUAACGAGCGCAACCCCUGUUGUUAGUUGCCAGCGAGUCAAGUCGGGAACUCUAACAAGACUGCCAGUGUAAACUGUGAGGAAGGUGGGGAUGACGUCAAAUCAUCACGGCCCUUACGCCUUGGGCUACACACGUGCUACAAUGGCCGGUACAGAGAGCAGCCACUGCGCGAGCAGGAGCGAAUCUAUAAAACCGGUCACAGUUCGGAUCGGAGUCUGCAACUCG